UACGGGAGGCAGCAGUGGGGAAUUUUGGACAAUGGGCGCAAGCGUGAUCCACCAAUGCCGCGUGCAGGAUGAAGGCCUUCGGGUUGUAAACUGCUUUUGUACGGAACGAAAAGCUCUGGGUUAAUACCCGGGGGUCAUGACGGUACCGUAAGAAUAAGCACCGGCUAACUACGUGCCAGCAGCCGCGGUAAUACGUAGGGUGCGAGCGUUAAUCGGAAUUACUGGGCGUAAAGCGUGCGCAGGCGGUGUUGUAAGACAGAGGUGAAAUCCCCGGGCUCAACCUGGGAACUGCGCUUGUGACUGCAAUGCUGGAGUGCGGCAGAGGGGGAUGGAAUUCCGCGUGUAGCAGUGAAAUGCGUAGAUAUGCGGAGGAACACCGAUGGGGAAGGCAAUCCCCUGGGCCUGUACUGACGCUCAUGCACGAAAGCGUGGGGAGCAAACAGGAUUAGAUACCCUGGUAGUCCACGCCCUAAACGAUGUCAACUGGUUGUUGGGUCUUAACUGACUCAGUAACGCAGCUAACGCGUGAAGUGACC
rnacentral:rRNA from 1 species